AGCGAACGCUGGCGGCAGGCUUAACACAUGCAAGUCGAGCGCCCGUAGCAAUACGGGAGCGGCAGACGGGAGAGUAACACGUGGGAACAUGCCCUUCGGUUCGGAAUAACUCAGGGAAACUUGAGCUAAUACCGGAUACGUCCGUAAGGAGAAAGAUUUAUCGCCGAAGGAUUGGCCCGCGUCCGAUUAGCUUGUUGGUGAGGUAAUGGCUCACCAAGGCGACGAUCGGAGCUGGUCUGAGAGGAUGAUCAGCCUCACUGGGACUGAGACACGGCCCAGACUCCUACCGGGAGGCAGCAGUGGGGAAUAUUGGACAAUGGGCGAAAGACCUGAUCCAGCCAUGCCGCGUGGGUGAUGAAGGCCUUAGGGUUGU
rnacentral:rRNA from 1 species